rnacentral:rRNA from 2 species
GUUGGUGUUGAUGACGCAGAGGGUACACCUGUUCCCAUUCCGAACACAGAAGUUAAGCUCUGUAGUGCCGAUGAUACUUGGCUGGCAACGGCCCGGGAAAAUAGGAAGAUGCCAACA